UUUGUCCUACGGGGGGCAGCAGUGGGGAAUAUUGCACAAUGGGGGAAACCCUGAUGCAGCGACGCCGCGUGAGUGAAGAAGUAUUUCGGUAUGUAAAGCUCUGUCAGCAGGGAAGAAAGAAAUGACGGUACCUGACCAAGAAGCCCCGGCUAACUACGUGCCAGCAGCCGCGGUAAUACGUAGGGGGCAAGCGUUAUCCGGAAUUACUGGGUGUAAAGGGAGCGUAGACGGUUAAGUAAGUCUGGAGUGAAAGGCCGGGGCUCAACCCCGGGACUGCUCUGGAAACUAUUUAACUUGAGUGCAGG
rnacentral:rRNA from 1 species